GAGACUGAGAUUGCUUGUGCGUGCUGUACCGUGUGUGUGAGUGGGAAUCGGAGGACAUGAGCUCUACAUGAGUCGUGUAAAAAUGCUUUAAGACGCUCUCAGCGUUUGUUUUCUGACCCCUUCGAACCGAGGACCAGCCUGAAACGGAGCCUGCGUCUAAAUAUCCAUCACGACCAGCAGAUCGAUUGGAUCAAUCCUGACCUACAACCCCGGUUUUCAUCUGCCACUCCAGGAGUUCUUCCAAAACACCCACCAGCAGUGAGGUUUUGGCAUCCAGGUGGUCUAUAACACAAAGACAGUUGGUGGCUCCAUUCCUGGGAAUUGGGUCAACCUCAAGCAGUGCAGAAGCACAGAGUAGGUUAAGCCCAGUAAUAAGCUCCUAAGCCAACGGUGCCUCAUUGUCUUAGAUUUUGAGGCAAUAGGCUCCAAACAAAUGUUAAAAUUGA